rnacentral:rRNA from 1 species
ACAUGCAAGUCGAACGAGAUCUUCGGGUCUAGUGGCGCACGGGUGCGUAACGCGUGGGAAUCUGCCCUUUGGUUCGGAAUAACAGUUGGAAACGACUGCUAAUACCGGAUGAUGACGAAAGUCCAAAGAUUUAUCGCCAGAGGAUGAGCCCGCGUAGGAUUAGCUAGUUGGUGUGGUAAAGGCGCACCAAGGCGACGAUCCUUAGCUGGUCUGAGAGGAUGAUCAGCCACACUGGGACUGAGACACGGCCCAGACUCCUACGGGAGGCAGCAGUGGGGAAUAUUGCACAAUGGGCGGAAGCCUGAUGCAGCAACGCCGCGUGCGGGAUGACGGCCUUCGGGUUGUAAACCGCUUUCGCCUGUGACGAAGCGUGAGUGACGGUAAUGGGUAAAGAAGCACCGGCUAACUACGUGCCAGCAGCCGCGGUAAUACGUAGGGUGCGAGCGUUGUCCGGAAUUAUUGGGCGUAAAGAGCUCGUAGGCGGUUCGUCGCGUCGGCUGUGAAAACCUGAGGCUCAACCUCAGGCCUGCAGUCGAUACGGGCGGACUUGAGUACUGCAGGGGAGACUGGAAUUCCUGGUGUAGCGGUGAAAUGCGCAGAUAUCAGGAGGAACACCGGUGGCGAAGGCGGUUCUCUGGACAUUUCCUGACGCUGAGGAGCGAAAGCGUGGGGAGCGAACAGGCUUAGAUACCCUGGUAGUCCACGCUGUAAACGGUGGGUACUAGGUGUGGGGUCCAUUCCACGGGUUCCGCGCCGUAGCUAACGCUUUAAGUACCCCGCCUGGGGAGUACGG